rnacentral:lncRNA from 1 species
CCUUUCUGCAGCCAGGCAUUCCUGGUCUCUGCUUGCUGCCUCCAGCUCCUGUUAAAGAGGCCUGCCUGGGUUUCUGCUUCUUUCAGAGUCCCUCUGGCCCCUGGGUGUGGGUAACGCCACCUUUUCCUGUUAUCUCUACAGCCUAGGGGUGGUCACCACUUCCUGCUGUUGGUGAUCGCUGGGUGGCCUCCCCUCCCCUGUUUGGCAUCUCAGCAAUUCUGUCACCUUGUAACCAGUUUCCAGUACUGCAUCCCUUCAUGGAAUGGCUUCUGUUUUCCUGGGUGGAUCCUGACUGAAAGAAGGAGUUCAAAAUAGGUCGUAAAGCAGCAGAGAAGAUGACUCGCAACAUCAACAACGCAUUUGGCCCAGGCACUGCUAACGAAUGUACAGUGCAGUGGUGGUUCAAGAAGUUUUGCAAAGGAAACAAGAGCCUUGAAGAUGAGGAGUGUAGUGGCAGGCCGUUGGAAGAUGACAACGACCAAUGGAGAGCAAUCAUUGAAGCUGAUCCCCUUACAACUACAAGAGAAGUUGCUGAAGAACUCAGUGUCAACCAUUCUACGGUCGUUCAGCAUUUGAAGUAAGUUGGAAAGGUGAAAAAGCUCAAUAAGUGGGUGCCUCAUGAGCUAAGCGAAAAUCAAAAAAAUUGUCAUUUUGAAGUGUUGUCUUCUCUUAUUCUAUGCAACAAUGAACCAUUUCUCGAUCAGAUUGUGACAUGCCACUAAAAGUGGAUUUUAUACAACAGCCGGCGACGACCAGCUCAAUGGUUGGACCAAGAAGAAACUCCAAAACAGUUCCCAAAGCCAAACUCGCACCAAAAAAAGGUUAUGGUCACUGUUUGGUGGUCUACUGCUGGUCUGGUCUAAUCCACUUUAGAGUUCUGAAUCCCAGCGAAACCAUUACAUGUGUGAAGUAUGCUCAGCAAAGUGAUGAUAUACACUGAAAACUGCAAUGCCUACAGCCGGCAUUAGUCAACAGAGAGGGCCCAAUUCUUCUCCACAACAAUGCCCGACCACACAUUGCACAACCAACGCUUCAAAAGUUGAACGAAUUGUACUACAAAAUUUUGCCUCAUCUGCCACAUUCACCUGACCUCUCACCAACCAACUACCACUUCUUCAAACAUCUCAACAACGUUUUGCAGGGAAGACAAUCCACAAUGAGCAGGAUGCAGAAAAUGCUUUCCAAGAGUUUGUCAAAUUCCAAAGGACAGAUUUUUAUGCUACAGGAUUAAAUUUAUUUCUCUUUGGCAAAAAUGUGUUGAUUGCAAUGGUUCCUAUUUUGAUUAAUAAAAAUGUGUUUGAGUCUAGUUACAA